UACGUAGGGUGCAAGCGUUGUCCGGAAUUAUUGGGCGUAAAGGGCUCGUAGGCGGUUUGUUGCGUCGGCUGUGAAAGCCCGGGGCUUAACCCCGGGUCUGCAUUCGAUACGGGCUAGCUAGAGUGUGGUAGGGGAGAUCGGAAUUCCUGGUGUAGCGGUGAAAUGCGCAGAUAUCAGGAGGAACACCGAUGGCGAAGGCAGCUCGCUGGGACGGUACUGACGCUGAGACGCGAAAGCGUGGGGAGCAAACAGG
rnacentral:rRNA from 1 species